GACGAACGCUGGCGGCGUGCCUAAUACAUGCAAGUAGAACGCUGAAGGAGGAGCUUGCUUCUCUGGAUGAGUUGCGAACGGGUGAGUAACGCGUAGGUAACCUGCCUGGUAGCGGGGGAUAACUAUUGGAAACGAUAGCUAAUACCGCAUAAGAGUAGAUGUUGCAUGACAUUUGCUUAAAAGGUGCAAUUUCAUCACUACCAGAUGGACCUUCGUUGUAUUAGCUAGUUGGUGGGGUAACGGCUCACCAAGGCGACGAUACAUAGCCGACCUGAGAGGGGGAUCGGCCACACUGGGACUGAGACACGGCCCAGACUCCUACGGGAGGCAGCAGUAGGGAAUCUUCGGCAAUGGACGGAAGUCUGACCGAGCAACGCCGCGUGAGUGAAGAAGGUUUUCGGAUCGGAAAGCUCUGUUGUAAGAGAAGAACGAGUGGGAGAGUGGAAAGUUCACACUGUGACGGUAUCUUACCAGAAAGGGACGGCUAACUACGUG
rnacentral:rRNA from 1 species